rnacentral:rRNA from 1 species
GACGAACGCUGGCGGCGUGCUUAACACAUGCAAGUCGAACGGAAAGGCCCUGCUUUUGUGGGGUGCUCGAGUGGCGAACGGGUGAGUAACACGUGAGUAACCUGCCCUUGACUUUGGGAUAACUUCAGGAAACUGGGGCUAAUACCGGAUAGGAGCUCCUGCUGCAUGGUGGGGGUUGGAGAGUUUCGGCGGUUGGGGAUGGACUCGCGGCUUAUCAGCUUGUUGGUGGGGUAGUGGCUUACCAAGGCUUUGACGGGUAGCCGGCCUGAGAGGGUGACCGGCCACAUUGGGACUGAGAUACGGCCCAGACUCCUACGGGAGGCAGCAGUGGGGAAUAUUGCACAAUGGGCGGAAGCCUGAUGCAGCAACGCCGCGUGCGGGAUGACGGCCUUCGGGUUGUAAACCGCUUUCGCCUGUGACGAAGCGUGAGUGACGGUAAUGGGUAAAGAAGCACCGGCUAACUACGUGCCAGCAGCCGCGGUGAUACGUAGGGUGCGAGCGUUGUCCGGAUUUAUUGGGCGUAAAGGGCUCGUAGGUGGUUGAUCGCGUCGGAAGUGUAAUCUUGGGGCUUAACCCUGAGCGUGCUUUCGAUACGGGUUGACUUGAGGAAGGUAGGGGAGAAUGGAAUUCCUGGUGGAGCGGUGGAAUGCGCAGAUAUCAGGAGGAACACCAGUGGCGAAGGCGGUUCUCUGGGCCUUUCCUGACGCUGAGGAGCGGAAGCGUGGGGAGCGAACAGGCUUAGAUACCCUGGUAGUCCACGCUGUAAACGGUGGGUACUAGGUGUGGGGUCCAUUCCACGGGUUCCGUGCCGUAGCUAACGCUUUAAGUACCCCGCCUGGGGAGUACGGCCGCAAGGCUAAAACUCAAAGGAAUUGACGGGGCCCCGCACAAGCGGCGGAACAUGCGGAUUAAUUCGAUGCAACGCGUAGAACCUUACCUGGGUUUGACAUGGAUCGGGAGUGCUCAGAGAUGGGUGUGCCUCUUUUGGGGUCGGUUCACAGGUGGUGCAUGGCUGUCGUCAGCUCGUGUCGUGAGAUGUUGGGUUAAGUCCCGCAACGAGCGCAACCCUUGUUCACUGUUGCCAGCACGUUAUGGUGGGGACUCAGUGGAGACCGCCGGGGUCAACUCGGAGGAAGGUGGGGAUGACGUCAAGUCAUCAUGCCCCUUAUGUCCAGGGCUUCACGCAUGCUACAAUGGCUGGUACAGAGAGUGGCGAGCCUGUGAGGGUGAGCGAAUCUCGGAAAGCCGGUCUCAGUUCGGAUUGGGGUCUGCAACUCGACCUCAUGAAGUCGGAGUCGCUAGUAAUCGCAGAUCAGCAACGCUGCGGUGAAUACGUUCCCGGGGCU